rnacentral:rRNA from 1 species
GACGAACGCUGGCGGCGUGCCUAAUACAUGCAAGUUGAGCGCUGAAGGUUGGUACUUGUACCAACUGGAUGAGCAGCGAACGGGUGAGUAACGCGUGGGGAAUCUGCCUUUGAGCGGGGGACAACAUUUGGAAACGAAUGCUAAUACCGCAUAAAAACUUUAAACACAAGUUUUAAGAUUGAAAGAUGCAAUUGCUUUACUCAAAGAUGAUCCCGCGUUGUAUUAGCUAGUUGGUGAAGUAAAGGCUCACCAAGGCGAUGAUACAUUACCGACCUGGGAGGGGGAUCGGCCACAUUGGGACUGGGACACGGCCCAAACUCCUACGGGAGGCAGCAGGAGGGAAUCUUCGGCAAGGGACGAAAGUCUGACCGAGCAACGCCGCGGGAGUGAAGAAGGGUUUCGGAUCGUAAAACUCGGUUGGUAGAGAAGAACGUUGGUGAGAGUGGAAAGCUCAUCAAGUGACGGUAACUACUCAGAAAGGGACGGCUAACUACGUG